GGAGGGAGUCGGGCUCCAUGGCGUGUGGGCCCCUGGGCCGUGGCCCCACCUGAUUUAUGAACCGAGGCCGUCUCCAUGAGCGCCUGCGCUUCUUUUGUAUUCCAUCUGGCGGCUUCUCCAACUAGAUGACUGGCCUGCCUGGAAACAUUAGAAGGGACCGAGGCGGCGAGAUGUCUAAAAUAGGAAGACGCUGGGGACGGCUGGCCUGGCUGUCCGCGAUGCUGGCUGCAGGGAUCUGGUCCGGCUGUGCAGAUGGAAAAGCUAAAAGGCAGUGCUAGAGAGUUGCGCCCAUGCCAAGUCCUUCUCCGGCGGCCCAGCUGGUCUUGGCUAUCCCCUCUGUGGCCAGACAGAGUAUGUGUGCCUGGAGAAGCCCCUGAAUCAUCAGAACUUCCUGACACGGACUCAGAUCUGCGCAGUCCACCUGACCUCCCCAUGCUGGACCUCUUGGCUAAUGUUUAAGCCAGUCAGGAAAAACCACAAGAAGCCUGAUGUGUUUCCAGAUGAGCAACAGUAGCAGUCUGUGCGACUCAGCAAACGCUGCCCAAGGACUAUGCCAGAGGCUGGAGACCCGGGAAUGAGUCAGCCAGAGUACUCCAACCAUAGCAGAGGGACUCUCAAAGUGUUACCAGGUUGGGGAGUCUGCCCACCAUUGCGAAAGACCUAAAAUGCUCUUUCACAGUUGACCUUUGGAAGGCUGGACACACGAAAACAAAGUUCAGAGUGACAGACCGCAUAGCUGCCCCAUUGCAGGGCAGCCGAGUUAUAUGCUGGACGGGCCAUACAGUAGAUGUUUCUGACUGUGUGACUCUACUCAGUUCUGCCUUUGUAACUGGAGAGCAGCUCCCAAGUGAGUGGAUGUGACCAUGGACCAAUCAAACAGAACUCUUGGGGGGGCAGGAGAUGGCUCAGCAGUUAAAAGCGUUUGAUCUGAAACCAUGAGUGGCAAAUCCCAGCACCCGUCUGUGGGGCAAGCGGACCAUGCCACCAGACAGAAUGGGUAAGGUUAAGCAGGUUCAAAACUCAGGGAGUCUCAGAGUUGGGAACGGCGGUCUUGGAAAUAGAGCUCCCUGCUGAGCUCUACCUGUUCCGGAACAGGUAACCAUGCCACCCCAUUGAGAGGACCAUGACCAUCAGCCACACAGGGGCAAUGCCUGAAGUCCUUCCCCAUGCAAAUCGGACAUGCCUAACAUCUCAGACAGAGCCAAGGGGAAGCAUCUACCCCUGGGUCCCACCUUAUCCUCAGAGUGUUGAUAAGGUCCCUUACCCCUGGGUCCCACCUUAUCCCCAGAGUGUUGAUAAGGUCCCUUCCACAUGGAAUAAACUGCACAAGUCUUUCCACCGAGAA